rnacentral:lncRNA from 1 species
UCUCCUGUACUCUGAUAGACCUGUUCAUCAUGUGAAAGUUUCAUGAAAAUGCAGAAUAAAAUUCUCUCUUAAACAAAAAGGAAGUUGAUAUUCAUGAUCAAAAUGACAGUUGACUGACAUUUUUCACAUUGAUAUCCGCUUUGUCAAUCGUUAACAAUAAUUUCCAAGUUACAAGAAUAUCCUAGCUCCAUUUAUUCAAAAGCCAAUUUAGGCAUUCUCUUAAGAAAACUCACUCCUUUUCCCAGUUGUUUUUCUAAUUUAAAUCCUGAUUAAGGUUCAAUUAGCUAGCAAAAUUCAAAUGUCAUGAUCAUUGAUUACAACUUUCAAGAAACUAUUAUUUAUCAAAACACAAUUUUUAAGGAGCAUACAACAUUUGAAAUAAAAAAACCAGGACAAAAAGAAUUUUAAAAAUUACUGCUCUUAAACAAUACAAUACUUGGCCAUCAAGUUCCAUCUUUCUGGUAUAUUGCACAUGUAGAUAUUCUGGUACCUAUACAGUGUUUUAUUGGCCUGUUCAUACCCUGAUAUAGGUUUUAGGCAAAUAUAAAGUUUUAUUCACCCAUCUAAACAUAACUAAGAAUGAUGUGGAUCAGAUUCUGACUGUUAAAGUGAAGAUAUAUAUAUAUAUAUAUAUAUAUAUAUUUUCUUUCAAGGCAGUGAGAAAUACAAUCUUUUAACUUUUCAUCAAGCAAGAACCAAAACAAAAAGAAAAAUCAGAAAGAUCUGUGUUUGUGUACCCAAAUCUAAGGAUCUAACAAUCCCCCAAAGCUCUCAUAACGCAAUUCUAAAGACUACAGAUAGAGGGUCUUGAGGUGUUUCAGUUUGUAGGCUAUGUUUUUGAAUGUUGACUAGAAAAAUGUAAAAAAAGUCAUCUCAUCACAAAAUAUUACUAAUUGAACACUGCUUCCUUCACUCUUAAUUUUUGGACCAUGAAUACUAUGAGCCAGUUUCACCAAAACUUGAAUGAUAGAAAAUUGUGUAAGGACAUAUUUUUGGCAAAAAGAAUAUCAAAAUGUCCCAUCCAAUCAUCUAAUAACAGAACUAAUCAUGAAUAUGAUUGCAAAUGCCCACCUGUCUGCCUCUUAAGAGCCUCUAAGAGACACCUGCAUAUAUUAGUAUGCUAAAAACUUUCCUCUAAAACAAGAUGAUUCUGAAUAAACAAUAAAAAUACAGUACAUGAAAUCUCCGAGCGUGGGCAAAUAGCCUUCCAGGUGGCUUUUUUGCUUCUUUUAAUUUUCUAAGUGGAUGUACUAAUUCUUAAACUAGAUGAACAUGUCAGCCAGGAUUAUGACAGAUUAAAGUCAGCAAAUGACUUCUCUGAUGUCACUAAGCACUACAAAUUACUGAUAACCAUGUAACAAGAAACCUUUUCCCCACUCAACUUCCGCGGAUUGUGGGGAGAAAGAAGGAAAAAGGAAAGCUACCAGCUGGUAAUCCUGGAAUUUUUUAAUUACUGCAUCUAAAUCAUCCUAUCUUUGUUAUUUAAAUUUUCAAGAUGGUCCCAAAAGAUUGCAGAAAAAGCAGAAGGAUACACAACAGGUCUACCCUUUGGCUUGUUUGAGACCAUAUAUGUAGCACCAUACAUAGCUAAUGCACUUGUAAUCUUUCUAGAGUAUCUCCCACAUGUUGCAGUCACUGAUUUUCACAAUUGUACUGCAGUAGAAUUGUGGGCUUUGCUACUUAUGAGUACUUAGACAAAGGCUCAUGGAUAUACUCAGACAUAUUUCUUCAGAAUAUUAAUAUAAUCAUUUUAUAAAAAAUAGCUUUGAGGAUAAAUUACAUGACCCAGAGUGUCCAUUCAGACAUUGAGCCAAAAGACUCAGAAAAGAACUCCAUGUGUCUCAAAUUGAAACUAAAACAAGUAUAGUUCUUGCAUUCUGUUUAUAUUUUCCUCCUCUUUGUCAACUCUUAGAAUUUGAGCCACAUUCUUGGAUGGGCUAGAAGAAGCAAGGGUUAGCAAACUAUUUGGUAGAUAGAAGAGCCUGGAAAUGGGAGUCCACAGGCCAAUUUAUUUUUAAACUAUGUUCUAACAUGCUCCAAAAAACAUGAUAAAAAACUAUUGCUUGGAGCUUUGUUUGUAAUAUUGUUAAAGUGAAGGAUGUGAAUCUACUGUGUCUACAGGCCCAGUAGUCUGACAGGAUGGAUGAUUGCUCCUGAUGCUGUCUAAGCAUAUAGAAAGAAAAUGAACACUUGAAUCCUCAAUUAGUGUACUCCUUUGUCAGAGAAAUUGCCACCCAAAUCAAAACCCAGCCCAUUUGUUGUUAGGGAUGAAUGCCUUGGAGUUUCUCUCCUGUUCUUAUGUUUAUAGAUGGAUAUGGUAGACACACGCACACAAGUCAAAAUCUUUUCCUUCUCAAAUUGCUUAAAACUAAAAACUAAUGACAAAAAACAAAAUAAAUAAAAAACAAAGGAAUCCUGAGGAGAGGGCUUGGCUUUACUAAGUACAGCACAGGUUCGUUAUUGUACCCCUAGUCUUCUUAGGGUCGAUACACCAGCAAGGUAAAAAAACAAGGAGGUUACAUAUUAGUAGGCAAGCAUUAGAAUAAUGAAUUGUUUGAGAGUGGAGUACCUUCAUGUAAGUAUGUAACAGAUAAUCCAUCUUCAUCAGUCUGAAAUAACUGUUUACUCUCAAGAAAUUUAUGCAAGCAGAGAAUCAGGUGACCAUACACAUUACAAUCCACAUCCAUCAUUAGACUGAUAUACAAUCUCUUCCCCAAAAUGAAUAUCAGACAAUAUAAAUUAUAAAUGGCUCAUUUUUUUUUCUUCAAUAUAAUCACACGACUGUCUAUUCAUUGUAAGUUCUCUCCCUGCCCACCAAAACUGAGUUAAGGAAAUUCUAAGUCCAAAAAGUGUAAUAGCAUGAGUUUCAUCCAUUUUCCUAAACCGUGCAAUGUGUGUAUAUGAAACUUUGGAUAUCAAUCUCAAGAUAAUGCUUCCGAAGUAUUAGAAACAACAAUUUGUUAGCCAAAAAAGGCAGAUGAAAAGGAGUUCCAACCAAAUUGACUCUGAGAUGCCAACUCUAAAUUCUUGAACCACAGCCAUAGUUCCUCAUGUUGACAAUUAAACACAGAGCUAGGCAGGGUUCAUCUAUAUAUCUCCCCAGAUUAAUAAUUGCAGGAUACAUUGGAAAGCUAUUAGUCUUAAAACAGUUUUCGGAAACUAUACAUUGAGUUGGAACUCUAUGCUAUGUUUGGUUCCAAGAAAGUACUAAGAAAAGAAAAAAAAAAUUGUUAAAGAAAACGAUUUUCUCAUAUUUGAUUUCACUAUGAAAAAUAGAAAAGAAAAACAAAUAUAAUUAAAAUUAGUUAAAAACUUAUAUAUCUUCAAAUCAUUUAAUCUUUAUAUAGAAAAGUUAAAAUAAGUUAAAUGAGUUUGAAGUAGUAUAUAAAAAUAAUUUAUUGAAUUUAAAUCAUUUUCCUUCCCUUUUUCUUUCCUUUGGCUUUUCCUCUCGAUUUUCUUUCCCUCACGCUUUCCCUCAAAAUUUUCGGUAACCAAACAUAGCCUAUAUAAUCCAUUUUUAUAAAAGUAUUCUUCAAUUAAAAAGAAGGCAUCGACAAUAAAUGCAGCCCAUCUUAGACAUCUAAAUGGUUCAAAAACUAGAAUGACCAAAAUUUAGGCCCUUCAGUCUCCAGACUAAAAGUAUAAACAAUAAUAAUUACAACAAAUAAUUGAAUAGAAUCAAGAGGUAUGGAACUGAUGACUGGACUCACUAUAGAGUUGAAAGGGAGCCAAAUUCCUGAAAUCCAAUAAGCAAUAAAGAAAUUCCCGAAGAAGAUGUGAGCACUGCUGUAUUUAAAUAAAAUGUUCUACUCACAAUCUUUAGCCAGAUUGUGCAGACUCAGCAAUGAGAUAUUCAAAGGUUGCAGGUAACUUCUAAACCUCAACUCUAUCUACCUAACUAAGAUUUUCACGGUCCUCUUGAAAUCCAUGAAGUCUUUUGAUGGUUCAGAAUUCAAAUUUGGAAUCUCAUGUUCUCAUGUUGUAGUAGGCUCAGUUGAGUGGGAAAAAUGAAAACUUCAAUAUUCAUAAAUUUACUUUCUUUCAUUUUCGAAAUUUCUCAGUGACCAAACAGAGGAUAAAGAAAAUACAAGCAGUGUACAAAAAUUUACCAACAGUUAACACACUAAAUCUCAAAAAUGGAAACAUAAGCGUACCUCUAGAGAGAGUCCAGAGACAAACCACCAGGCGUCUCUGUUUGGUUACCGAGAAAUAUGAGGUAAAGAAAAUGAAGAAUGUAAAAAGAAGUACGAUUCCGAGAGAAAACUUCAUUUUGAAGGGAAUAAGAAUACAGAAUUAACAAUUGAAGGAGGGAGCUCACAACUCCCGAGUCACAAGACGCGCAACAACACAGCAAGAGGCAAACGAUGUCGUUUUAAGAAGG